GGGCCUGUGGCUCAGCCAGUCCUAGAGCUGCUACUCUAGGGGUAAAGCAGAGCGGAGGACUCUUAAUCCUUAGGUCGUGGGUUCAAAUCCCACCAGGCCCGCCA
rnacentral:tRNA from 1 species